UUUUUUUUUUAGACAUCUUUGUAAAAGAGAAUAGGACCACUAUUUUAACCCUUUUUUCCUUUGAGUAAUUUAUUCCUCUCUCCAAUUUUUUUUUCACUAUUUUGCUUGAUUUAAUUGGUGUUGGUCUACAUGCUAGGCCAGCAUGUCUGAUUUACUAUGGGUAGUGUGCCAUUCUAUAGACUAUUAGAGUUAUAGAUUUAUAAAUUUAUUAUUCGUGUAUUUGUAGUUCGAUAUGUUUGAAGAGAUUCC
rnacentral:lncRNA from 1 species